GUUUGAUCCUGGCUCAGAAUCAACGCUGGCGGCGUGCCUAACACAUGCAAGUCGAACGAGAAAGUGGAGCAAUCCAUGAGUAAAGUGGCGCACGGGUGAGUAACACGUGACUAACCUACCCUUGAGUGGGGGAUAACCUAGAGAAAUCUGGGCUAAUACCGCAUAAUACCUUCGGGUCAAAGGAGCAAUUCGCUUAAGGAGGGGGUCGCGGCCGAUUAGUUAGUUGGCGGGGUAAUGGCCCACCAAGACGAUGAUCGGUAUCCGGCCUGAGAGGGCGCACGGACACACUGGAACUGAAACACGGUCCAGACUCCUACGGGAGGCAGCAGUGGGGAAUUUUGCGCAAUGGGGGAAACCCUGACGCAGCAACGCCGCGUGGAGGAUGAAGCCCCUUGGGGCGUAAA
rnacentral:rRNA from 1 species